AGAAGAGCUAGUGUGUUAAAUCAGUGUUCUCUUAUUUAAGGUUUGGGCUAAAGUAACAGAAAUAAGACACAGUUAACUGGGUACCAGGAGCCUUUCUAGGAGCAAGGAGGCCACUGGAGCUCUGGGAAGGGCCCUACUCACCUGGAACACUGACUUGCCGAGAAAGCGGACCAGCUCAAUAAGGAAAAUGAAGACCACGUUCACCAAGAUCCUCAGCAGGCCAAAGAAUUCCCUCAGGUUUUGCUGAAUCACCUUCUCAGAGCUGCCAAACGGAGAGGAAACAAAGAUUCUUACACUGUCAGGAAAGACCAAGUGGCUCUUUGGGAAUGAAUCACGCUAGCUCUGCCCUGGGUGUUACGGCAACACAGAACUAGUCGCAGCACCCAGCCCUCGGACCCACAAUUCCAGCUGAGGCCUCGCCACUGCCGGGCAGAGCAGGACAGUGACUUCCCGUCUCUUCCAUACAUUUCCCUACCUUUCCAGGGCAGAGUUGAGUCAAAGCAGUACAUGCGGCUGAAAGAGCCAAAAGCGACACAGUGAACACCCACAGCAUGCGGCUGGCUGCCUUUCACAGUAACAGCAGGAGGACUUCUGCCACUGAGAGAGCUGUCACACGGGCAUCCCAGAGGCUCCAGAUCCACCACUAUCAACAAACCACUCUGGAUGGACUGGGGGGAAGCUAUAUGCAGCAGGCACCACGAAGAUGUCCACAGACAAUGCUAUUGAUGGAGGGGAGUGUGCCCUCUAAUGGCAAAACAGAGAAGUGCUCUAGCAAGGCUGGGAGGGCGGGGGGAAGUUCCACGGUACUGUCCCUCAGUGACUCAACAAAUGUAUUCAGUUUGUGAGUAAAGAUGUUUCCCACCCCCGCAUCCUCCCCGCAACUACCAGCUGUGCAAAGUUCCCUGAAAUCAGAGUCAAGCUGGGCUCUUUCCAUCCCAAGUGCCCCCCCACCAACGGUUCUACGGGCCGAAUCAUGUUCUCAUCGACAUCUGUGCCACUCCAUUAGCUGCUUGCACAGGUGUAACUGUCUGGAACCUGGCAAACAAUUCUGCUGCUGACACCUGAGAAGGAAAAGACUCCAGCUUGCUCUUCCCUAGCACAUUGGUAAAAAAUAAAAAGCACCACAAAAAUGUGCAAACAGAACUCUGAAUACACAAAAGGAGCAGCCCUGUUGUGUAGUAUGUUACCACUUUUACAGUCGCUUUUCUGAGGAGAACGACACUUUGAAUCUCCUUUGUCUGCACUGGUGAAGGUACAGACUGAAGCAAUGAUUGCCAAUCGGAUGAGCCAUGGAAGGCCCUGGAGCUCAAUGCUUUGC